rnacentral:lncRNA from 1 species
UAAUGCCCUCAAGGCCUAUAGGUAUUAAACAAAUAACUGAAUUGAAAAUUUCUUCUUUUUUGUGUAAAUCACAGAUUGCUAUGAGAGUGACUACCCAACAAUGUUGGUGUAAUGGAAGACAUUACAGUCUCAAGGAAUAAUUGGUUGAGAGUCAUGAAAGUAAGGAUGGCAUACUUCAAUGCACAAAUCAAAUUACCUGGAUAAAUGGGAAAUAAUACUCCCAGGGAAAACAGAUUCUUUCUCAAGAGGGAGCAAGUGGAUAACUGCUUUAGAAUGAUGGCAUCAACGAAUCAUAAGCCCGCAUGCUAUGGAUGUUCUUAUAAUUCAGAUUCACAACUAAUCUGGAAAAUGUAUUUGGAGUGAACUGGUAAAUAUUCUUUCUCUGUGUAGGUCUCUGCUUGGGAGCUUGAUAGACAUCUCUUGUUAGCUUAUUAAAUUGUAAACCCUCCCACUUUUUAGGAAACCUUCAUGUUUACUUGAAGUUUAUCUUUUUUUUAAACUUCUAGUGUUUUAUCACAGUUCUAACCACUAGAAGAGACUAAAACAAGUCCAUUUUUGUCUUUUUGUUAUAUAACUUCAAACAUUAGCAAACUACUAUGGGUUCUUUCGUACCUUUCCCUUAACUUUUCCCAGAAUACAUAACUCAGUAUCUCUGAUGUUUUCCAAUAUGGCAAAAUUUAUAAAUCCCUUAGCAAUCUGAUCAAAUUCUUCAGGGCUCUUUUAUUCAUUGAAGAAAUAUUUAUCGUCUAUGAACUCUCCACCAUUAGGAAUUGUCCUGAUAAAAUACUGAUCAUGCUAAAACAGUUUUUCUCUUAUGAAACUUACUGUUUAGUUGGUAGAUAAGAAAUAAUCACAUAAGUUCAUAUAUAGUAGUUAUGAGCAUGAUACAUCAUCUAAGGGAAAUUGUAUGCUUUCUUAAUACCUUCCAUGUAACAAACUGCUCUUACUAGAUGUUACACUAUAUCAUAUCUGAUCAGCAGGGUUUGCAUAUUGUAGUUCCAUUUUCAUAUCUCAGUUACAUUAACUCUAUUUGCAGUAGCAUUAAAAUAGUGACAAGUUACUGGUCAAUAAUAUAUGAUUGUAGUUUUUUAAUAAGCUGUAUAUAGAGAAUUUUUUAUUUUUUUUUUAAAUUCUACCUUCCAUUUCAUAUUUUGCCAUAUUAUUACCUAUUAAAAAUCAUAAGGAAAUAUACCCUUCAAAUGAAACAUUUUUUUCUGGGUUUGUAUUUGGUUGGAUUAUUUAGAUCAUAUUUAAGUUAAAUUUUAAGCCUACAAAUGAUGCAACAUGAAAAGGGAAUAAGGUGAUGUUUUAGCUGACCUUAGAAAUCUAUGGAAGGUGUCAGGUUGGAUCACAAGAGACAAUUGCUGUUUGUACCUCCUUGCUAAGGGUUGACAGUAAGCCAGAGUGCAAUGACUUAUUGUUUUCAUCCAGCCAAGAAGUAAAAGUGCCUUUUUAUUCUUUUUACAACUUAGUAAUCAUAGAAUGCUCAAGAAAAGCCUAAGGUAGAAAAUGUAUUGAACUAGAUAGAACUUAGCAAUUUAAAGAAAACUGCUGUUCUUGUCCUGUAAAAAUGAAAGAGAUGAUUGAAAUUUAAGACAUUAGGAGGUAAAAGAAAUUGAAUUCUCAAGAUUAAUUUUUUAAAGGACCCAAGGAGUUAGUUCUGUUUUUCCUUUUUUAAAGAAAAGUUGCAGUUGUAACUUGCUAAAAGAAAAUGAAAUCUUCAAAUUCCAUUACAUAAGGAAAAAACCCCUCCAGUAUUUGAUCUAAAUAAGUUAUGUACAGACAAGGUCCAUUAGAGAGAGUGUCCUAAAAUUUGUCACUGAAGAGGACAGCAAAGGAAAUACAAAUGUUUCCUAGAUUAAUACAAUUUCAGAUUAAGGAUAUUAUGAGUCUAAUUCAAAGUACAUAUUUUUGAAUGAAAUGCUAUGAUAUUAAUUAAUGUUUACAAAUAGAAGAGUGGUUUUAUUUGAUCAAUUUUCUAAAAUCGGAAAUCAAUACUUCAUUUAGAUAAAAUACUAAAAUGAAAUAUAAAAACCAUCAAAUAAAAAAUUGGUGCAUUUUCUUAUCUACAGUAAACAUUGGGAUGAUACAGAUAUGACAUUGACAAAAAAGAUGGUCAGGAAAACAGUGACUAGCUGUAUAAAAUUACCUUUUAUCAUUCAUAUCUAAGCUUCAUGAUAAAGCCACUGAACUGAAGUAAAAUACUUUUCCCUGAGUGUCUCUGUGUUUCUCAGGUAAACAGAGGCAUCAGUUUGUCAUCAGCUUCUAUAUGCAUACCCCUAAAGUGGACCACAGUUGACUUACAAAUCAAUUUUUAAAAUACCUGCAGCUUUGCCUUCUUUAACAGUCUUUUUGCUCAUUUUUGCUCAGAAUGUUCUAUGCUGUAUGAACCCAUCUUGCAAUUGAUCCUGGAUUUGAAGCUGACAGCUGUGAACUAGCAGGAAAAUGAUGUGGCAAGAGUUGCUAUUCCUGAAGAGAAUUCAAAGAAUGUUCUAUUUGGGCAAAUUGUAAUUCAUGACUCACUCAGCACAAAUUUUUAUCUUCUUAGUCCCUUUGAGCCACAUGGAUUUCAAAGUACAAUACAUAUUACAUAUAAAAUAAAUAUACACAUAUACAUGUAUACAUAGAUGUAUAUAAAAUAUGUAUA